UACCAGCACCCCGAGUGGUCGGGACGUUUAUUGGGCCUAAAGCAUCCGUAGCCGGUUCUACAAGUCUUCCGUUAAAUCCAACUGCUUAACAGGUGGGCUGCGGAAGAUACUAUAGAGCUAGGAGGCGGGAGAGGCAAGCGGUACUCGAUGGGUAGGGGUAAAAUCCGUUGAUCCAUUGAAGACCACCAGUGGCGAAGGCGGCUUGCCAGAACGCGCUCGACGGUGAGGGAUGAAAGCUGGGGGAGCAAACCGG
rnacentral:rRNA from 3 species